UGCAACCUGAGCUCAGGCGU
rnacentral:rRNA from 1 species